CAGUAGCCGCGGUAACACGAAGGGUGCAAGCGUUAAUCGGAAUUACUGGGCGUAAAGGGUGCGUAGGUGGUGGUUUAAGUCCGUUGUGAAAGCCCUGGGCUCAACCUGGGAAUUGCAGUGGAUACUGGGUCACUAGAGUGUGGUAGAGGAUAGUGGAAUUUCCGGUGUAGCAGUGAAAUGCGUAGAGAUCGGAAGGAACAUCUGUGGCGAAGGCGACUAUCUGGGCCAACACUGACACUGAGGCACGAAAGCGUGGGGAGCAAACAGGAUUAGAUACCCCAGUAGUCCCUGUCUCUUAUAC
rnacentral:rRNA from 1 species